UUGGUUUAUAAAAUCGAAAAAUUAAUCAUUUAAUUCAUUUUCCAUAAAAUUCACAAAAUCGAAUAAAACAUACUUUAGAUAAUUAAGACGAUAGUAAGUUUAGUCACUAUUUUGGGAGUUGAAUUCCAAGUACUCCGAUUCUUGAUCCUCGGGUACUAUCUCUUUACUUUUGCCAGAAUGCUCACCACCUAGACAUAAUGCACAAUAAGCCAUUUACUACAUUAUGCUAAAUUGUUAUAAAACCAAUUCAGGCUUUAUACUAAUGUAUGAAAUGGGAUGNN
rnacentral:lncRNA from 1 species